rnacentral:misc_RNA from 1 species
CAGUUCAGUAUAGUGGUAGAGUCGACGCGUACUUCACGCGCCGAAGUCUUACCGCAGUGUUUUAUAUCGUGUGCGAAUUCUCAGCUGUUACACGUCCGGUUACUUGUUGACAAAGAAUUUACUGUGUCGACAAGCGUUUGUGCAACUGGAAAUUCUCUGAAGACGAAAGAAGAUUCUCUUCUGCAUCUAAUCGUAUCAAUACAAUAAUAAAAAAGGAACACAUCGUAUGUCGCGUUUCAGUGACCCUCAAGAUGGGGUAGUGUUAGAGUAAUUGUAGUUUAUUUUGAGAAAGCGUUGUGUGUGAUAUAGUGACAUUUAGUGCGAGGAGUGAGAAGAAAUCGCAGCCAUGUAUUCUAUGAACUACAUCGGGAAGUUCAUCGCGAACUUCCGCGAGUUCUACAACGAGAUCAACGGUGCGACGCUGACGGGCGCCAUCGACGUGGUGGUGGUGGAGCAGCCCGACGGUAGCUUCACCUGCUCGCCCUUCCACGUGCGCUUCGGCAAGCUCGGCGUGCUGCGAUCCAGGUUCAAAGUGGUGGACUUGGAAUUGAAUGGAGAGCCUCUGAACAUUCACAUGAAACUGGGGGAGUCAGGGGAGGCGUUCUUCGUAGAGGAAGUGGGGGAGGAUGAGGCGGAGUGCGCAGCUCACCUGGCCACCUCGCCCAUCCCCGCCGCGAGGUUCGAGGACCUCUACGAGCCGCGGCGCAGGAACUCGCUCUCAGCUGUCGAGCCCGACCACGGACAAGCCUCAGAUUACACCAAGCGGAGAUACACUGCUGAUGGACAAACAAUGCAGAAACCGGACUUGAGUAAACUAACAAAAAGUCCGAAGCAAGAGAAACCAAAGAAUGAGGAACAUGACCACGAGGCUUUGUUUGAGAUGGAAGGUCUGGACGAGCAGACGGACUGGACUGACUCCAAGCCUAAGACCUUUGCUGCGACGCAAUUAGGCGAAGGAGAGAGUGAAGCUAGUCAAACAGUGCAGAAGAUUAGUGCACAUAACGACUUUAGACCAAUAGAAGCGGCACCUUCUCAAGAUGACAUUAAAAAUAACGGUAACGGAAAGAAGAAGAAGAAGACGCGGAAAGUUAGUUCUAAGAAGAAGCAUCAGAGAAAAUCUUCUACCAGUUCGAUCUCCAGCCAGUCGGACCGUGCGGGUUCCGAGCAAAGGGCGACGCAAGUUCCUAUUCCUAACACUACAGACAUCAACUUCUUUAGCGACUCUGAAGUAAACACCGCCGCACUUAGUGAAGAGAUGUCCAACCUGAAGCUGAACGGAGACAACCGCAUCCCCCUGGCGUUGUCCGACACAGCGUUCGAGGUGCACGCCGCCUCCAGAAACGCAGGUUCUCGCGGCGGCACGCCCGUGGUGUCGGACACGGAGGUGGAGCUCGCGCGCGCGGUGGUGGGGGACAAGUCCUCGCAGUCGUGGCGCUGGGGCGAGCUGCCGGAGCCGCCGGUGCGCGCCGCGGAGUCUGCGGGGGAGUCCGGGGCUUCUCCCACGGAGCCUGCUUCGCCCGCUGAGCCUGCUUCGCCCACGGAGCCACUGAGCUCGGACGAGGAACGACCCGGGCGGCGCGGUGUGCUCAGCGGCAUGUUCCGUUUCAUGUCGGCGCGGGACGCCGGCGCCGCCGUGGAGGGCGUGUACCUUGACGACCUGGACCGCGGGCAGGUCGACCCUGAUCUCUACUUCCCCAAACAUCACACCGAACGAUACCGCUCCGGAGGCGUUGCCCCGACGCACGCGGCCGCGGGCCCCACGGAGGAGGAGUACGAGUCAGGCAACGGGCCCUCCCUGCCGCAGUCGCCGGCGUCCCUCGAGCCGCCGCCAUUGGACUCCGAUGACGACGACAAACUGCUAGCCAAGGGUCAAGUGGGCGUAUACGCUCGCGAGGAGGUGGUAUCGCGCGCGUUGGAGUAUGAGGAGUUCUGCGCACGCGGCGCUGCCCUAGCAGCGGACGGGCGGCUGCUGGUGCGGCUCGGGGACCGCUGGCUGCCCUGGCGCAGCGCCGGCCCGCUGCUGCUGUCGCUGCUCGCCUACCGCCGCCCGCUGCCCACUCGAGUACUAGAAGAGUUAGAGAAGGGCUCGUCGGACAAGGAGCACUCGGAGUCGCAGACGCGGCCGCCGGACAACGCCAAGCCCCGCGGCUACUCGUGGUGGAGCUGGCGCCGCUCCAACGCGGAAGCCAAGCGCACGGAAUCUUCACCUACGAAGGAAGAAGAACCACCUAAAGAGUCGUCUUCUCCACCCAAGGAAGGUCUAUCGCCAAUAGAGUUAGCUGCGGAGCCAAAGACGGAGGAGUCGCUCGCCCAGCCCAGCGAGAAUGUAGAAGAAUCGCAGGAGAUCACCAGCGCGGAUGAGAUCAUAGAGCCGCUGCUUCAAGACACAAUCAAAGAGGAAAUAGAUGCGAUCGGUAGCCCAAAACUUAUUCGCGACCAGGGCGAUAGACAUGACCACAGUUCUUCUGAUUCGGACCAAGAUGCUCACCCUUCAAGACCUUCACGGAGACACUCCACCUUUAGAAAAACACUGAGGCUCUCUUCUGAACAAAUUAAAAACUUGAACCUGCGCGAGGGCAUGAACGAGAUGGUGUUCAGCGUGACGACGGCGUACCAGGGCACCACCAAGUGCAAGUGCAACGUGUUCCGCUGGCGUUAUGAUGAUAAAAUUGUCAUCUCAGACAUCGACGGCACUAUCACCAAGUCGGAUGUCCUGGGUCAUAUCUUCCCCCUGGUGGGCAAGGAUUGGGCGCAGUCUGGUGUAGCGCAACUCUUCACUAAGAUAAAGAACAAUGGAUACCAGUUGCUUUAUCUGUCGGCGAGGGCUAUCGGCCAAGCGAGGGUGACCCGCGAAUACCUACGCUCGAUCAAGCAGGGCGAGGUGUGCCUGCCGGACGGGCCGCUACUAUUGAAUCCCACGUCGCUACUGCGCGCCUUCCACCGCGAGGUUAUCGAGAAAAAGCCCGAGGAGUUCAAAAUACAGUGCCUCGCCGACAUCAAGGCACUCUUCCCCGCCGGCUCCAACCCCUUCUAUGCCGGAUAUGGCAAUAGAGUUAAUGAUGUAUGCGCGUACCAAGCUGUCGGCAUUCCUAUCGUGAGAAUAUUCACCAUAAACUACAAAGGAGAACUAAAACAUGAACUGACUCAGACAUUCCAAUCAACUUACCACGUGCAAAGUGACAGUGUCGAUGAUUUCUUCCCACCACUUCAAAAGUGUGAUAAUAAAAGCUAGCUCAAAUUAGGUUUAAUAUACAUAAAUAGUGACAGAAAAUUAACGAGCACGUGACCUUUCUGGUACUCGCACAUGUCGGUGCUGGUGGACCAGGUGUUCCCGCCGGCGCUGUGCGAGCCCACAGACGAGUACUCGCACACAGUGUACUGGCGCGAGCCGCUGCCACUCGUCGAACUUCCAUCGGCCGCGCUGCCAGCGCCUA